rnacentral:rRNA from 1 species
GAUGAACGCUGGCGGCGUGCCUAAUACAUGCAAGUCGAGCGAACGGACGAGAAGCUUGCUUCUCUGAUGUUAGCGGCGGACGGGUGAGUAACACGUGGAUAACCUACCUAUAAGACUGGGAUAACUUCGGGAAACCGGAGCUAAUACCGGAUAAUAUUUUGAACCGCAUGGUUCAAAAGUGAAAGACGGUCUUGCUGUCACUUAUAGAUGGAUCCGCGCUGCAUUAGCUAGUUGGUAAGGUAACGGCUUACCAAGGCAACGAUGCAUAGCCGACCUGAGAGGGUGAUGGGCCACACUGGAACUGAGACACGGUCCAGACACCUACGGGAGGCAGCAGUAGGGAAUCUUCCGCAAUGGGCGAAAGCCUGACGGAGCAACGCCGCGUGAGUGAUGAAGGUCUUCGGAUCGUAAAACUCUGUUAUUAGGGAAGAACAUAUGUGUAAGUAACUGUGCACAUCUUGACGGUACCUAAUCAGAAAGCCACGGCUAACUACGUG